rnacentral:misc_RNA from 1 species
UUCUUGAUCACUGCUAAUUU